rnacentral:rRNA from 1 species
UACGAAGGGUGCAAGCGUUGCUCGGAAUUAUUGGGCGUAAAGCGCACGUAGGCGGCUUCGCAAGUCAGAUGUGAAAGCCCACGGCUUAACCGUGGAAGUGCAUGGGAAACUGCAGAGCUUGAGUACUUAAGAGGAUCGCGGAAUUCCCGGUGUAGAGGUGAAAUUCGUAGAUAUCGGGAGGAACACCAGUGGCGAAGGCGGCGAUCUGGGAAGAUACUGACGCUGAGGUGCGAAAGCGUGGGGAGCAAACAGG